rnacentral:tRNA from 1 species
GCCCCUGUAACUCAAUUGGCAGAGUAACUCCCCUGUAAGGAGUAGGUUGACCGUUCGAAGCGUGUCCGGGGGCACCA